CAGGGCCGGGUUCUGCCCCCGUUCCAGUCUGUAUUACUGUUGCCGUCCAUAUGGCAAGAAGAGGAAGAAAGCAGUUCCAGUCUAACACAGGAUUGCUGGAGGUGUUAUUGGAAAUCAGAAUUCAACUAGAAUGUUCUUCCUCUCAGCUCCCUGGUGGAAGGUCACACACACAGCUGCCCUAGCCUCCUAGAUAUCACCUCAAGCCAAAUCACAGUGGUGGUGGUUUCUCUGUGUCGUCCUUGCUGUCCUGGAACUCACUCUGUAGACCGUGCUGACCUCAAACUCAGGGAUCUGCUGGUCUCUGCCUACUGAGUGCUGGGAUUAAAGGCAUGCAUCACCACCACCCAGCUUAACAUUUAGGUGAGUUUCAAAGGGCAUCAUUUACUUCCAAUUAGGAGGGCAUAAAACUACGAUCCUCCUCCCCUGGUGCUGAGGAAACACAACUGACUCUUGGAAAAAACGAGGCUUUAAGAACAGGAAAGCAGGUCUCUGCCUUCAGCAUCUCUGGGUUCACUCCAGGAGCUUUUUUUUGCCAGAUUAAAAAUUCCCUUCCUUAUGCCAACCAGAAGGGAAAGCUGCCUAGAAAAUGGCUUAAAUAGACGGAGGCCCGUGAAGAACGAGAAAACAAAUUAAAAUCAACAUAUAUUGUAUUUUGACAAUGAUGUCCUUUCUGAAUACUCUGAGUAUCUUUAUAUGUCCUUACAUAAUUUCCGGGAUGAGAACGGCUACUCCUGUUUACAGAUGGGAAAAACAGAGUCCUGGAAAGUUACUGGUUAGAACUGGUUAAUGUUGCAGAGAAAGCGGAGUUUCUGAAGCUUCUUGAUUUCAAAUCAUGGGCGAUUUUAAAAACCAGGCCAAGCAGAAACCAAGGUUGGAAAGAUCUUCAGAAAAUCUGCUCUUAAAUCUGUUUCUCCACUAAGCACA